UAGGGAAUAUUGGUCAAUGGACGGAAGUCUGAACCAGCCAUGCCGCGUGCAGGAAGACGGCCUUCUGGGUUGUAAACUGCUUUUAUCAGGGAAGAAUAAGCUUCUUGCGAGAGGUGAUGCCGGUACCUGAGGAAUAAGCACCGGCUAACUCCGUGCCAGCAGCCGCGGUAAUACGGAGGGUGCGAGCGUUGUCCGGAUUUAUUGGGUUUAAAGGGUGCGUAGGCGGCCUGUUAAGUCAGUGGUGAAAGGUAUCAGCUCAACUGAUGACGUGCCAUUGAAACUGGCGGGCUUGAGUACAGACGAGGUAGGCGGAAUUUAUGGUGCAGCGGUGAAAUGCAUAGAUACCAUAAAGAACACCGAUAGCGAAGGCAGCUUACUAGGCUGAGACUGACGCUGAGGCACGAGAGCGUGGGGAGCGA
rnacentral:rRNA from 1 species